rnacentral:rRNA from 1 species
CUUCGGGUAGGCGUCGAGCGGCGGACGGGUGAGUAACGCGUAGGAAUCUACCCAGUAGCGGGGGAUAGCCCGGGGAAACUCGGAUUAAUACCGCAUACGCUCUAUGGGGGAAAGAUGGCCUCUUCUUGAAAGCUAUCGCUAUUGGAGGAGCCUGCGUUGGAUUAGCUAGUUGGUGGGGUAAAGGCCUACCAAGGCGACGAUCCAUAGCUGGUCUGAGAGGACGAUCAGCCACACUGGGACUGAGACACGGCCCAGACUCCUACGGGAGGCAGCAGUCGGGAAUAUUGGACAAUGGGCGCAAGCCUGAUCCAGCCAUGCCGCGUGUGUGAAGAAGGCCUUAGGGUUGUAAAGCACUUUCAGAAGUGAAGAAAGGCGUUGGGUGAAUAAUCUGACGUUUUGACGUUAGCUUCAGAAGAAGCACCGGCUAACUCCGUGCCAGCAGCCGCGGUAAUACGGAGGGUGCGAACGUUAAUCGGAAUUACUGGGCGUAAAGCGCGCGUAGGCGGCUUGUUAAGUCAGAUGUGAAAGCCCCGGGCUCAACCUGGGAAUUGCAUAUGAUACUGCCAGACUAGAGUGUAGUAGAGGGAAGCGGAAUUCCGAGUGUAGCGGUGAAAUGCGUAGAUAUUCGGAGGAAC